CUUUUGCGGAUUUCUUCGGAUUGAAGCAACUGUGACUGAGCGGCGGACGGGUGAGUAACGCGUGGGUAACCUGCCUCAUACAGGGGGAUAACAGUUGGAAACGGCUGCUAAUACCGCAUAAGCGCACAGUACCGCAUGGUACCGUGUGAAAAACUCCGGUGGUACAAGAUGGACCCGCGUUGGAUUAGCUAGUUGGUGAGGUAACGGCCCACCAAGGCGACGAUCCAUAGCCGACCUGAGAGGGUGACCGGCCACAUUGGGACUGAGACACGGCCCAAACUCC
rnacentral:rRNA from 1 species